rnacentral:lncRNA from 1 species
AGCACAGGACACAGCUGGGUUCUGAAGCUUCUGAGUUCUGCAGCCUCACCUCUGAGAAAACCUCUUUUCCACCAAUACCAUGAAGCUCUGCGUGACUGUCCUGUCUCUCCUCAUGCUAGUAGCUGCCUUCUGCUCUCCAGCGCUCUCAGCACCAAGCAAGCAAGUCUGUGCUGAUCCCAGUGAAUCCUGGGUCCAGGAGUACGUGUAUGACCUGGAACUGAACUGAGCUGCUCAGAGACAGGAAGUCUUCAGGGAAGGUCACCUGAGCCCGGAUGCUUCUCCAUGAGACACAUCUCCUCCAUACUCAGGACUCCUCUCCGCAGUUCCUGUCCCUUCUCUUAAUUUAAUCUUUUUUAUGUGCCGUGUUAUUGUAUUAGGUGUCAUUUCCAUUAUUUAUAUUAGUUUAGCCAAAGGAUAAGUGUCCCCUAUGGGGAUGGUCCACUGUCACUGUUUCUCUGCUGUUGCAAAUACAUGGAUAACACAUUUGAUUCUGUGUGUUUUCAUAAUAAAACUUUAAAAUAAAAUGCAGACAGUU